CGGGGUCGCCCUCAUGUUUGCGCUGAGGCAGCUCUGGUUGCUCCAGAACCUGGUGGGCUGGUUCAACCUGACAUGAGGAAACCCUGAGACACCUGGAACGCAAGAAACGGAUUAAGAAAGAAGUCAAGUCUGCAUUUCCACACACACAAAUGAAACGUACAGCUGGCCAGCUCAUAGUUCCAGUCUUCAGCUUCAGCUCUGAGGACCUGCCUUAUAAGAAAUCCCUGCCUCAAAAGCUCCCUGGCCAAGAGAAGGAUGUUACAGCUCUCCUACCGGAAGGGAUCAGGCCUUUCUCUAAGCAUGCUAGUUUUCUAGUCCUUUUGAAACAUCGGGUUGGGAGCCGCAAUGGAGACAAUGCUACAGGCAUGGUUUGACCUGGUAUGUCCACUGCAUGGUGUGCAUAAGUCCUGGGGUUAAUGUAAGUAUAUACUAGGACUUCGGCAACUCUGUCAUACUGUUGGCUCUUUUAGGUUUGUGGCCAACUAGAAAUCCUAGACCUUUAUUCACAAACUGCAGGUGUCUCCCAGGUGUCAUUUUGUACUGUGAUAGCUGAUUUUAUAAGAUCUAACUUUAGUAUCACAUCUAUUUAUUUCUACUAAAUAUCACUUUUUUAUCAAGAUUACUAUUUUGGUUCUUUAACAGAUAAAUCAUAAGGCAAAAAGUGACAGAAGGGCAACUUGUAGAAUAAAAGAGAUUUAAUGAUAUAUCAACAAAUUGCAAUGUGUAGGCUUUGUUUGGAUCCUGAUUUAAACAAAUAAACUGUAAAAAAAUUUAUAUUUGAGACAAUUGGAAAUUUGAGCAAUGGAUAUUUGAUGAUGUUAAGAAAUUAUUGAAGUUUCUUUUUAGGUGUGAGAAUAGUGUUAAGAGAUUUUGUUUUUAACAAGCAGGAUGUCUGAGAUUUGCUUCAAAAUAAAAUGAGGGAGGGGAAAAUAGUAGGGGUAUAGGAGAAACAAGAUUGGCUGUGAGUUGAAAAUAGUUGAAGCUGGAUGAUUGGUCCAUGGGGUUUCUUAUGUAAUUAUGUCCACAUUUGUGAAUGUUUGAAAUUAUCCAAAAGGAAAAUUAUUUUGAAUCUUGCCUCUGUCAUCCAACAUGUUAACUGCUCUUAGCCCUGUACCCUUCAUCUAAUAAGUAUGAUUUCUGUCUCUAUAUCUAAGUAGUUAAUGCACAAGUCAACCAGGUCAGCACUACAAGCACAUCUCUGUGACCCACCAAGAGCUACUAAGCUGACUGAUCUGUGAUGUAGUGAUAGUCCGUCCUCUUUGGAAAUGGCUGAUCAAUGAACCAUGAUUCCACCUACUUCAAUUAUCUCGUCCUCAUUUACAAUGAUAUCAUGAAAGAUUUGUUCAGUACCUUGUAAAAAUCAAAAUGCAAAAUUCUAACCAUCAUCCUUAUUUGCACUUUUGCAAUCUGUUUUUCUAGCUAAGAUUUUAAUCCAUUUGUUCUAAGUGAAUUGCGAGUAGAGUUGGUGCCAAAUAUCGAUCUUUCUUUUCCAAAACGCCCGAAAGUCACUUGCUUUAAAUAAUGCAAUUUUGAAAUUUAUAGCAUAAACAUAACUCACUGUACUUUGUCCCUACUGUAAAGUCUGGCCAAUCACACCCAGCUGGCCUCACACGUGACCCAGGCCGUGACAGUCAAAGUCUAACCCUGGACUUUAGUUGGGAAACGCAUUUUUUCCCCUGCUAAAUUGAAAGGUUGUAAUCCUGUAGACACUGGUGGCCAUCUUGCCACCACCUGGGUAGAGUCUGCUUGAGAAUGAUGCCAACACAGAGGAAAGCAGAGCUGAGGAAUGGAAAGAGAUUCUUGGAUUACCUCAUUUGAGCCUCUAGUUUUAGCUAUGCCUAAAGCUAGCAACCCCUGUCAUUUUUGGCUAUGUGAGCCAAUACAUUCUAUUCUUUUCUUAAAAUCAGUUUAAGCUGGAUUUCUGUCACUUGCAAAAGAAGUUCUGACUAAUACAGUGAGUGUUAUUGGUUGAACAAUGGAAUGCAUAAUCUAAAAUGUUCUGUUUUGUAUAAUUUUUGUAUGAUUAUAUUGUAUAUGCAGCAUUAUUUUUAUAACUUUAUUGAGGUAUAGUUUGCAUAUCAUAAAAUUCACUUAUUAAAGCAUACAAUCCAGUCAUUUCUGGCAUAGUCACAGAAAUGUGCAGUUAUUACCACCAUCUUAUUUAGAACAUUUUCAUGCUGCCAAAAGAAACUGUAUCCAUUACUUAUCACUCCCCAAACUCCAAAUUUUUGUGGAAAUUCCCAAGCUUCUCCCCAACCUACUGCAUCAGAAUUUCUCUUUCUCCCAUACAUAGAAUCAUAGACUGCUAGGGCUGGGAGAUCCCAUUGGGUCUUCAUUUUUAAAUUGAUAAUAUAGCCAGAAGAUGAUUGGCUUUUCCUCUAACUCCCUGGACCCAUCAAGGCCAGACUGAGUCCUCAGUGUGCAUCUUUCCAAUAUAUUCAAGUGCAACAGUAUUUGUGACUAAUGAGAUUUUACUGAAGGUUUCAUGGGAAGGUGGAGAAGAGAAUUGCAUCACACAUCACAAAGCAAAACUUAAUUAGAUCCCUCCAUUUGACUAGCUAGACUUGUUCUUCCACCAAAAGUUUUCUCCCUUGCUACCAUAUCGCCAGGUCUCUUCUCUUCAUCCCUCCUACUACACAACUUCUGAAAUUCCCUCUUUUUUCCCCAAACCAUUCAACCAUGGUCUCAAAUUUAUACACCACACUCAACAAAGCAAAAGUAUAGUAGCUAUUUUUGUACACAACUGUUUUUCCUCAAACGUGCUCCUUGAGAAACGGAGUGGUAUCUCAAUUCAUUUUAUGGUCGUAGAGCCAUAUCAAUAAUAAGUACUUCCUUAUUUAUUAUUGAUGUAGCUUAUUAAGAACAAAACACUGGGCUAAGUAUCUCACAAAAUGACUUACUUGAUGUCAUGUAGUUCAUUAGUGGCAAAUCUGGUAUAUAACUUUCAUUAUAAGGGUCAAAGCACAACUUCUCAGGCAUUCAUAUACGUAGACUUCAAUUUCUUUGGCUUAACAGCCCUGUGGGAUACGUGGAAAGGAUAUAUUAUUUCAUCUUCCAAAUAUAGGGAAACUGAGGUAC